CUCACGGACUGUGAAAGGACAACACAGCAACGCAGAGAGAAUCCCUACCUUUGGUGGGCCCCGCUCAUCAAUUGAGAACGGCUUCAGUUGGAAAGCAUCUCGCUUAUCUCGUAGGGGUUUGGGAGAUGGAUGUUAAAGCUCAGAAGGCUCCUGUGUGCAUAGGAGGAAAGCAGAGAUUGGUGACAUCACAGAACUCGAAAGGAACGGUGGAGAACACUCCAUUUAAUCAAUCAAUCAGCGUUUGUGGGGCACCAACUGAAUGGAAUAGAAAAUAUGGUUGCCAGGAGGCAUACACCAUUCGAGAACUCCAUAGAGAAGACUCUGCCAUCUUCAGCAGCCCCACCCCUUACAGUCCUCCCCCCAUUGGAGAACACGUACCGCUAACUUGGGCAUCUCCAGCCAGCCGACACGUCAUCAAGAUGGCUUUUGCAGACUUCCCAAGGCUGAGGGAGCCAUGGCCCUCAUUGCUGCGUUAUUGAUGGUGGUCUUAGAGAGAGAUGGAUCAUGUCAUCACUAUCCUCUCACAGCCUCAUCCGUUACAUUGACUUAGCUGUAUGUCCAUCAAGUGACACAAGAAACCUGAAACGGCCAGCUGGCAACCUCUGUUUCCAAACGAGAGAAACCAUUGAUUUGGCUGCAUACUAAAUCCCUAAACCAGGCGUGUUCAGAGUUCCAGGAAUGAGAAGCAAAAACACAAUAAAAAAUAAAUAAAACAUGAGCGGCUCUGCAUGGCUUUUUGAUGUGUCACUGGCCAGGCUACAGACCCCGGUCACCCAGUCACUGACCUAGUGCAGCUGUGAAGGGAUUUUACAGAUGGAG
rnacentral:lncRNA from 1 species